CUGGCACUCUCGAAAGUGACUCAUAUCCUCUGAGUCAGUUAACAAGCUUAAUAUCCGAAGUAAGGCUGGAGCGAUUUCUGCAUGGGCAAAGCACCCGAACAGGGAGGAACAAAUCCUGUGUUCUGGAUGCUCAGUCUGGACCUGGAUACAUCCUACGUGAAAUUCACUGUCUGCAAUCAGGCAGGCAGCCCGACAAAACUCCAAACACGACACUGCACAAGCCAAGGCUACUGCUGUGGAUCCCUAGAUGGAGACUGAGAAGAAUGGCAUCCAUGUUUGCUCUCUGGGGACUGGGGAAGUGAUGUUGUUAAUACAGUUUUGGCUGCAUCAGCAA